AUUGAACGCUGGCGGCAUGCCUUACACAUGCAAGUCGAACGGUAACAGGUCUUCGGAUGCUGACGAGUGGCGAACGGGUGAGUAAUACAUCGGAACGUGCCUAGUAGUGGGCGAUAACUACUCGAAAGAGUGGCUAAUACCGCAUGAGAUCUACGGAUGAAAGCAGGGGAUCGCAAGACCUUGUGCUACUAGAGCGGCCGAUGGCAGAUGAGGUAGUUGGUGGGAUAAAAGCUUACCAAGCCGACGAUCUGUAGCUGGUCUGAGAGGACGAUCAGCCAGACUGGGACUGAGACACGGCCCAGACUCCUGCGGGAGGAAGCAGUGGGGAAUUUUGCACAAUGGGCGCAAGCCUGAUCCAGCAAUGCCGCGUGCAGGAAGAAGGCCUUCGGCUUGUAAACUGCUUUUGUCAGGGAAGAAAUCUUCUGGGCUAAUACCCCGGGAGGAUGACGGUACCUGAAGAAUAAGCACCGGCUAACUACGUGCCAGCCGCCGCCGUAA
rnacentral:rRNA from 1 species